CCACAAAGCAUUAUUUACCACCGUUAUAAAUAAAACAUUGGACUUGACUACUACCCAGUUUAGGAAAAACCAAGCCAUUCUCUGUAACUGACAUGUAAGGGGACCUUCUCUGGUUCCCAAGUAUGGAAUCGUCUUUCAGGAUGAUUGACAUAAGGUCAAUGGUGGGGGGGGGGGGGGAUCGAUGGAAAAGCACUAGGGGGAAGGCUGGGCCCAAGUUCAGAGGAUUCUCCCCUUUUUCCUUCACUUUUGUUUUAUCUACCCUCUAUUUUCAGACCCCACAUUGACCCUAGCAAGCUGGAGACACUCAUGUGUGCAGGCUUACUGGCUUUGGGCACAGACUUCCAGAGCUCCUGGGACAAGGUUGUCCGCAGAGAGAUGAUCACAGAGAGGCUGAGGGAGAACACAGGAAAAGCCUCGUGGAUCUCAAGGAAAACGAGCACGAUUUCCGGCUGCCCUUCUGCUUCCUUGGAAGCGAGGGACACUUAAACAUCCUAUUCCCCCACAGCAACAUGGCGGAGGCUUCAAGGGGACAACCCGACAUCAGAAGUCAAAAGGCAACCCCAAAAAGAUACCCAAGGAAUGAACGGCGGAGGGCAGUCCUGUCCACCACCUGCUUGUUAAACCCGUGAAGGAAAAGUCAACGUUGCCUUUUGUAAACUGCUGAUAGAAGAAACCCAAGUCAGAAGUAUCCUUGCGACAUGCCCACACCAGCCAGCCUCACUGAUGAAAGCAACCAACCCAAACAGGACCCGCAAACCACACAGGAGAUCCAUCCCUUAAAUGAAUUCGUCUCAGUGAUCGAUCUGAUCAUGUGAUUUUUUGAGACAGCUCUUCAGGGAGAUUUUAACUUCGGUUCGAACUGACCAAUAUAUUCCACGACUUGUAUCUACCAGGAACUUGGGGGGCAGAUUCUGAGCUACCAAGAGGAUUCUUAUCACUGGGAACAAAAUAAUUAACUGAAAAUGUAAUCAAUGGUACCAAAAAGGGGUCUCCCUCUCUAAAAUACACACCUAUCCUGACCACCUGCAGCACGUAUCACCAAUAAAUUGCCCAAUAAAUUGGCAUUCUGGAUGAUAA